ACAGCUAAAAGUUAAAACUAGGCAGUCUUGUAAUUGACUGAUGACGCCAAAAUUUCCAGACAAUAGAACAUGAUAAAGAAGAAAGAUGUCAAAAUUCUGUGUUCCAAAUAUUUAAAUCUACACCCUUUAAUCGUUUUUUUUCAUAUUUUUUAUCUUUCAAUGUAACAUACAUGCUCAGUGUCAGUUCCAACUACAAAUACGCCUGCUGCCCUUCAUACCUCAUCACCCCUUCUCUCUGAUCACACUUGCAACAUCAAAACACACAAGCUUGCAGGACUUGAAUGGCUUCUUCUUCAUCAAAACAGCUAUGGGAGUAUCUCCAAGAGCAACAGAAGCCUUUUGUGCUUGACGCUUACCUUUCAGAACGAAAGAUCAUGUUGAACAAGAAGCAAAAGAGACCACGCAGUUAUGAUUUGAACAAAAUAAGGAUUGAGCAGACUAGGAAGAUCCUGAAAUUGUUGUUGCUUAAGUUCACUCGCACUGGUCAAAACCAGCCAGUUUCAAGCUGCCAUAAAGCUCAGAUACAUGAACGUGUUUCGAAAACAAUUGAAAAGCCCCAGCAGUUUGGAGAAACAGAGUGGCCUCCUACAGGGAGCGGUGCAGUUGCAGUUCGUGAAUCUUUCAGAUGCAAUGUUAAAGAUUCGCAUUUUCAUGAAAAUCAUGCCUCUCUUCGUCCAAAAACUUCUCAACCCUUGACACAUAGCAGUUUGAAACAAAAGGUGCAUAUAAAGAUAUUAUCAAGAAAACAUUAUCUGAACUUUAUUCCCUUCAUAUAAUGUGGUCACGAGAGAAUUUUACUUGAUGUUUCUUGUUUCAUAAAGAUUUACUGACAAAAGUUAAGCAGGCUGCUGCAGAUACAAAUUUUCAGUGGGAAAGCAAGGAAGAGAAUGAGCAACUCAGCCCAGUGUCAGUGCUAAAUGAACUACCAUCAACAGACAAAGUGUGUCGCUUCCUGCUAAAACAAGAAGGAAAAGGUGCAUCAGCUUCAAGCACCGUUUUGAGUAGAAAUACAGAGGAAGACAACAUCCUCUCAGCUUUCUUUUGCGACUUACUAAUUAAAUCAUUGAUUGAAAAGCAUAGCCUUGCUGGUUUCGCAGAGUUACGGGAGGUUGUUGGGCCUGCUUUUUCUCAGCACCUGAAAAACAAUAGGAUCUUGCGGCAAAACAUGCAGCUACUUCAUGAUCAUGUAAACGAAGCCAUGGAAGUACAUGGAAGGAUGCACAGAAGAAAGCAGCAAGCUCAAGAAUUCAUAGGUCUACAAGAGCUUGGGAAAAUCAUCUGCGAGCAAAUUUGCUCAUGGGGAAAACAAGAAGCAACCGAACAAAUAAAUAUUAAUGUAUCUAGCACAGUAGAAUAUGGCUGUUAUUUGCAGCAGAGGAUAGGGACUGAGAUAGGAGACGCGAUAUUGAAUGAAAUAAUUCAGGAAGUGCUUGAUUUAUUUUUGCAGUAAA